rnacentral:lncRNA from 1 species
AAAAGGUGGAGGUACGGCCCAGCAGGGUCUGUGGAAGACACGUGUCAUCGUGGGCCAUGCUGUCUGCACAGAGGUCUCGGCGUACCCCCUACUGAGCCCGCUGUUCAUAUGAGUGCCACGAGGAAUAAAGAUGAAGUGGUCCCUUUUGGAGUUGGUUAACUCCCCAAAGUUCUAAAGCCCAGCCUAGGGAUUUUUCAUGAGGUCACAUGGUCUCUUAACGUCCACACCAAGAGAGGAAAAGGAGUGUCCAGGCAGCAUGACAGCUGUCCCCAGCCGGAGACCCACGUGAAGGGUUGCAGUGACGUACCUUUCCGAAGAGUGUGCGGGCUCUGGUCUGGGGGCGGCUGGCUGGGGCUGGUGCCCGCUUGGGCCCCUGGCUGCGUCCCUGCGCCGGGCGUCCCCUGGCUGGAGCCUGGACUUCCUUUCUGUGCAGAUCCCGGAGAAAGCUCCUUGCUUUUCGACGUGCUGGAACAGAAGCACACGGGACAAGAUAGGCCCUGGACUCAGGCAAACGCAGCACCAGCCUGUGGGUCGCAAUCCCACGUGCUCCGCUGGGCCAGCUCUUGGUCUGCCCCACGCCCUUCAGAGAUGCUCCGGGAGAGGGGACUGGCCCUUCUCAGGCUCUGGGGACCUGCGUUCCACUCCUACCUCCACACCCCUGGUGCCAGCUCCCUCUCCAUGCCUCUGCCCUCUGUCUGCCAGGAGACCACGAGCAUCCCCACCCUGUCUUGUGGCCAUGGCUCUCCGCUGAGUUCCCUGACCUCCACACCACAGCCCCGGGCAGGGGAGGGCUCUGGGACCCAGCCUGGGUGUCAGUCCCAGAAGCCCCCCACCCGCAGUGCUCCCACAUAUGGCCAGUUCAAGUCCCAGCCCCCCCCGCCAGGCCUAGGAGGCUCAGGGCCAAUGGUAAGGAGGGUCUCUGGCGUCCCUUGAACUAACAAGGGGACACCCUGGGUCACCAUGUCCCAAAGGGGAUUCAUCCUUCACUGCUGCCUCUCUCCAGGCAUUGUCCUAAGAAUACAGUACAUAUUCAAAGACACCCUACUCCACCCCACAGAACAGGGACAGCUAAGAGAUGGCCAGGUCGUCACUCCCCACCAUCCCCCAACACGCCCUCCACAGCAGACAUUCCUAAUAGAGCUCCAGACGUG